UCCCAGCGGCAGUUUCGGAGACUGUGUGGGGAAAACUGCGUCCAGUACGGGAGAACUCAGAAGGGGGAAUCCGACAUGAGUUGGGGAACGGAGCUCUGGGACCAGUUUGAGAAUCUGGACAAACACACUCAGUGGGGGAUCGAUUUUCUGGAGCGCUACGCGAAGUUUGUGAAGGAGAGACUGGACAUUGAGCAGAACUACGCCAAGCAGCUACGGAACCUGGUAAAGAAAUACUGUCCAAAACGCUCCAAGGAUGAGGAGCCGAGGUUCACAUCAUGUCUGUCGUUCUACUCCAUACUGAAUGAACUCAAUGACUAUGCUGGUCAGAGGGAGGUGGUGGCGGAGGACAUGGCUCACAAGGUGUAUGGAGAGCUGAUGAGGUACAGCCAAGACCUCAAAGCUGAGAGGAAGCAUCAUCUACAGGAGGGCAGGAAGGCCCAGCAGUAUUUGGAUCAUUGCUGGAAACAGAUGGACAAUAGUAAAAGGAAGUUUGAGAGAGAGUGUAAGGAAGCAGAGAAAUCCCAGGUGACCUACGACCGGUUAGAUAAUGACAUCAAUGCCACCAAAUCAGAAGUGGAGAAGGCCAAAGCCCAGUUCUACCUGCGGACUCACAUGGCUGAUGAGAGUAAGAACGAGUAUGCUGCUCAGCUCCAGAACUUCAACGCAGAGCAGUGGAAACAUUUCAACAACGCCAUACCACACAUCUUCAAGAAUCUGCAGGACAUGGACGAGCGUCGGACGGUGAAGCUCGGCGAGACGUACCGGAGCUUUGCUGAGGCGGAGCGCAGAGUCAUUCCCAUCAUCUCCAAAUGUCUAGAAGGAAUGGUUUCUGCUGCCAAAGCUGUCGACGAGCGAAGGGACUCAUCCAUUGUCGUGGAAUCAUUUAAGUCCGGCUUUGAUCCUCCGGGCGACUUCCCCUUCGAGGACUUCAGUCAGAACCUGAGCAGAACGGGUUCAGACGGGACCAUCAGCAACACACCCAAAGCAGACAGAGAUGGGGCCCCGGCACCACGGUCCGACCCAAAACACCCUAUGAGCAGAACCAAGAACAAGCUUUGGCUGUUUGGGAAGAAACCAAAGGCCCCAUCUUUGGAGGAUUUUAGUCACUUACCUCCUGAGCAGAGGAGGAAGCGGCUGCAGCAGAGGAUCGACGAACUCAGCAAAGAGCUCCAGAAAGAGAUGGAUCAGAGAGAUGCCCUGAACAAGAUGAAGGAUGUGUAUGAGAAAAAUCCACAGAUGGGAGACCCCAGCAGCCUGCAGCCUAAAAUAUCAGAGACCAUCUGUAACAUGGAGAAACUGCGCUCGGAAAUCCACAAAAAUGAGACUUGGUUGUCUGAGGUGGAGGGAAAGCAGAGCUCCAGAGGAGACAGAAGACACAGCGCUGACAACCACCAUCACACUCCUCAAGGCAGAGAAAGUCCUGAGGGAAGUUACACAGACGACACCAGUCAGGAGCAUCAAACGCCUCACCACCGCUCCAGUCCUCCACAGCCCGGACACCCGAACCCCGACCCUCACGAGUUUGACGAUGAAUUUGAUGACGACGACCCGCUGCCUGUCAUCGGACACUGCAAAGCGUUAUAUUCCUUUGACGGUCAGAACGAGGGGACACUGGUGAUGGCAGAAGAUGAGGUGUUGUACAUCAUCGAGCAGGAUAAAGGCGAUGGCUGGACGAGGGCGAGGAAGCAGAGCGGCGAGGAGGGCUACGUCCCCACCUCCUAUGUAGAAAUCACCCUGGAGAAAAACAGCAAAGGUGCCGUCACCUACAUCUGAAGCUACACUGUCUUCUGUCCUCUUCCUCCAUUCCUCUGUCAUUCUCUCCAUCUCUGCUUUCUGUUCCUCGACGUAACACCACGAAGGAAAAAGACGGCGUCUGAUCACCUGCAUGGACGUUCAUCCGUUUCCCUUCUCUGAUUUCCCUCCCAUCUCUUUAUCCGUCAGUCUGUUUUAUUAAUCAUUCGUCCUCAUCCUCCUCUCAUGUCUGUGGGACUGUUUCGGAGGUUCCUGAGGGCUGCAGGGUGGCCAGGCGAUUUGAUUGGCUGGUGGAGGGCUCACGCUGAUUGCUGAUUAUUGGUGGUGGGGGUGCCAGAGAAAGAGAGAGAGAGUGGGGGAAAGGGAGAGGUAGAGAGGGAAACAGAGGUGAAGUGGGCUGGGAGGCAGGUUUGCAUGUCUGCAUGCUCACAUAUCCAUGAUCAGCAAAGCAUUUUGGGGAACUAGAGGAAGAAGGGAGUGUCAUACUAUACGUAGAGGAGAUGAUCCCAAAACCAUAAACAGGCAGUAAUAUAAUUAAUAUCUUAAAGUAGGAUCCUAACUGGUACCCACAGGAGAAAUCCCACUCCGAACUUUAGGUUUCUGUCUUAAAAGCAGCAGAACAUGAAACUGAGAACACCUUUCAGAGCGGGAAGUGACAACUGCAACAACUUCAGCUAAACAUACACUCAGUUUCCCUUUUAUUUGGUACACCUAAGUUAAACAAAUAAAACAGUCAUGCAAUAAGGCGUACCUUCAUGACAGUUAGAAUCAAACAUAAACUUUUUGUGGAGAGAUGUUGACUCAACUUUUAAGAUCAUUGCGAAGCUGCAGUUUGUUGUGCUGACAGGUGUUUCUAAUAUUUUGUCCACCCCAUUUAUAUCAAUGAGGGUAGGCUAAAUAACAGAACACCGACAAAGGUAGAAAAACGGGAAGGACAGGAUGUAAUUCCCUCAUUUGAUGUCUUGCGCUUAUCAAGUACCAAUUUGGCAAAGAGCAGAAUCUAUCUGGUUGAUUUAUUUUGACAUGUAAAUUUUUUUUUUUUUUUCAUGAAAUAGACACGUACAAUUUCAAAGAAUACAUCUGUGUUAAAUGUGCGGAACUAAAAAUCAAAGUAAAAGCAGUCAAAUACACAACAGAACAAGCAGAACCAAAUCUACUUAAAGCUACAGAUAAUCACAAUUUACUCGCUGUCGUCCAUUGUUCCUGAAAUUGAAAUAUUUCUAGUUUUAUUUGAAUCUUGGUAAUUUAAUGUUGACUAAAUAUGUAACAUCAUUGAGACUGUCCAAUGUAUAAUCCUCCAUAAUGAUCGUACAGUUGAAUCAGCACCUCUCUGACACAUUUUCAACAAAAGCUGAACAUUAUAAACGUCAUGAAGGAGGGUUUAUUGCAGAGCUUUUGUAUUAGUAUUAGCAGUGUGUACCUAAUAAACUGCCAACAGAGUGUAUACUACAUACUUUUUUUUUUUGCAUCCAGCAACAACAAAUACAUUUCUUCCACAUUCCCUCUUCUCUGCUGCUGCUGUGUUAUGAAAAUGACCACGAGCAGCAACCUGCACCUUCCCAGCCUGUAAUGGCCUGAAGAGGUGGGCCUUCUCUGAUGGCCACACCUCUGACACGGGGUUGUUUCAGAGCGAAUCAUAGGGGAAAAACCUGAGGAUGUACUCUCUGUGGGUUCAAGCGUUCAGUGAUUGUGCUCUUUAAGCCACAUUCUGAGCAGUGAUGUUACAGGAGGUGUUUCUACCUGUUUCUACCACUGAUUGGGAUGCAGCUAAAAAUAAAACACGCACAUGUGGUUGAAAGCUUCAGCUCAUAGAGGGUAGUCCAGCAGCAGCCUUUCCUCUCUGAUUUGAUGUGGAUUUAUCCUUUUAAUGACGAUCGGUAGCAACCUCAUUGAUUCACUGUCUGCUUUGUGCUUUAAUGGGAUAGCUUGCCUUUUAAUAAGUUAGAGUAAGUCUUUUCUCUGUAGGUGCUGGCUGAAGUGUUGGGAGGUUGAAAUCUCUCUAAGUGGCUCCAAUUGAAGUUUAUUUUGUCUUGUCAAAUGAACGGGCGCCACCAUCCAUGAAACAGCAUUCUGACAAGAGUUUCUAAUCACAAGGUCAGCUUAUCUGGUGGAGAUGAUGGUGAUGACAUGAUAUCCCAGCAACUCUGUCCACCGAGGAAGGUCAUUAAUGUGGCUGAAAGCUUCAGAAACACCAAGCAAGUUGACCUUGUGAUGAGACCUCUGUCAAAAUUUCAAGCUCAUGAGCGAACCUGUCGUCUGACGUCUUCAAACUGUUGGUUUGCUUUUUAGUGAGGAUUUCUAAAUUCUCACUGGCCAGAAAUUAUUAGUAAAAUUUCUUCCACUUGCCAUAUUUCCUAAACCAGUCUCCCCGACACAUAAACUCCCCCCAUACUUUUAGUCCAGCUCCUGGUGAGAGAAAACCAGUUCAUUUUAAAAUUCAGAACAUCAGGGUUUAGUAACUUUCAGGCUCAGGUAUGCUUACAGUAUUUGCUGCCACUAACAUUAUCAGUGCUGCGCUGCUCCAACUCACUCCUGUUGUUGUCGUCGUCGUCGUCGUCAUCAUCAUUAUUAUGUGUUCUGUUGGUGAUGUCUGCCUGCCUGAGCCACUCUGCUCCUCAUGCCUGCCCUCACCCUCAUACAGUCGCAUGUUUUUAAUGUGUCGUUAUUGUCUCCCAAACAUGAUCAGGUGACUUUUACUGCAACUUUGUAAGUGUGUGUUCCGCUAUCUUCGGCUGUAUGCUUUAUGUUGAAUGCCAUACCAUCAUGAUUUUUCAUGGACUUUCAGCAUGAGUAUGAUUUAUUUGUUUGUUUAAUGUCUCCCAAACAGCAGCUGGGUAAAAUCAGAGCUACUCAUUAGGCAGAUAGCAGGACUAUCAGGUGAAAACAGGACCUCUCUUCCCCUGUCCUCCUUUCUUUUUCUUUUACUUUCCCCACCUUUCCUCUUCUCUCCCUUGGUUGUAAUUCCGCCAGUCGACCAGCAGAUGGCAGCCUUUCUUCAGCAAACCACCGCUCAGCUCGAGCUGGACUGGGCCUCUUUUAUCAACAUCAAACAAAUAAGAGGAGCUCUGGUGCCGUUGCGGUCAGACUCUGCCUUAAAACUUCAUGUUAUAUUACUGUGGAGGGGAGUCUUCCACAGAUACAUAUCUGGAUGUGUCUGCUCUUCAGCCUCAAUAUGUCUCCCAUCAGCCACCUGGGCUCACCCCUCGCAUCUGUGGAGGACUCAACUGCAUCUCCAUGAAAAGUUUUUUUUUUUCCCCCAUUUAAUCAGUCGUAUUUGUGAAUGUGACGACACACACGCAUGUAUCAACGUGUACGCACAGAUAUGGAAAGCCAAAAACGUCACAAUUUUUUCGUGUUUUGCUUUCCGUACACAUUUACAUGUACAUGUGUGUACACGUGUUACAUGCGUGACGUUAGUUUUUACCAUUGAAUGAUUUGUACAUAUUAACAUCUCUUAUGUCAUGCUGAAUGUGUUUCCAUGGUGACUGUUUUUAGGUUUGUCUGAUUGACACUCUUCAUGAUAGACAACAAGGUUUGAAUUGAACCGAUGCACUUUGCCCUUAAGUACUACAGCAUUUGAAUCUGAUUAAAUGAACAAGUGAAUAAAUGAAUGAACGAAUGACUGAAGGUCUGUGUUGUCUGCUGAGAGAGGUGUGAUCUUUUUAUGAAUGACCACUGUGUAGCAGCGAGAAACAAAAACGGCUCUAGUAACUUUCUCUUCUCAAAUGGUUUUUAUACCCUUUUUUUGUAACACUUGCUGAGCAAUGACCACAACUUCUUUUGCAUGAUUUUUCUAGAUUCUUUGAAUUCAUUUCGUCUCUCUGGCGAUUAUUUUUUAACCACUUGCUGUAUCUGGUCAACAGGCUAACAAAAUGACACGUCUCACACUUUCUCUUGAUGCUAUUUAAGACAAUAAAUGCCACUAACAACACUCAGUCAAGGUAAUCUGUGCAGCAAGUGGCCACGCCUUCACUGUAAUCUGUGUUUCUUCGAUGAAGCUGUGAAAUGUACAGAAUGAUGCUGUAGAUGUUGUUACUUGAACUUUUCCCUCCACACUACUCCACAUUUCCUCCACUGUCUGGGACAAAUUUGUAAUGGACAUUUAAAGGGGUGUUUCAGUGAUUUUUAGUAUUUCACCAAACAAAAAACGGUCAAAAUAGAAGCAGCAGAGGCCGAGAUGUCCUCUCUUUACACCCUAAUAUGGCUCAAACUCCAAAAAUGUUGCAUCCUUCAUUUCACAUAAUGCUGCAUAACAGUGUCUUUAAUUACAUCCUCCUUGCUUGGUAAAUGCCCAUGUCUUUUAAAGCUCCUUCAGAGCCACAGAAGGUAUUAUACAAUGGUUUUCACUGGCUGAGUAGCACAUAACCCUGAUGAGUACACUGUAUUUUCAUGUGUAAAAUUUGGUGGAGCACCCCUUUAAGAGUCCUUGUCCGCUGGUUUGGAUUUAAGAUGUUUGUGAUGCAAAAUGGCGCCUGAUGAUGAUGAUGUCUUGUAAACAAGUACAAAGAUCCAUCAAUGCUUUUUGUUUCAUGUAUGUAUCUGAUGUCAUGUAGGGCUCCAACUAACAAUUAUUUUCAUUAUUAAUUAAUCGAUAUAUCAUUGUCAUUGUCUAUACAUCAGAAAAAUUGUGAAAAAUACCCGCUAUAAUUUUCCAGAGCCUGGGGUGACAAUGUUCAGUUUACUUUCGUAUAUAACAAAUACAAAAAUAUAAACAUCACAUCCUCACAUGUAAGAAGCUGGAACCAGCAAACAUUUGGCACCCUUGCCUAUAAAACAACAAAUGAAGUAUUCAGUUAUCGAAACGGGUGCUGAUUAAUUUCUUAAUUUUCUGACAAUCGACUAACUGAUUAAUCGACUGAUCGUUGCAGCUCUCAUGUCUGGUUUUCCAAACAGGGACAAGCUGAUUCCCUGAAACUGAGCUGAAAGCACAUGUUUGUUGGAAACUAAGAUAUAAAAUGUGUGCAGUCAAGUGUUACAUAAAAGAUUUUCUAUUUGUUCCAGUAGUAAUGCGGUCAUACUGUUAAAUCUCAUUGAAGCAAUUAGGGCUGCAACUAUUUAUUUUUCAUUAUUGAUUUAUUUUGAUCGAUUAGUCAAUGAAAUAGCAAAUAAUGCCUAUCGAAACUUUUAGGAGCCCAAGGGGAUGUCUUCCAGUUGCUAGUUUUGUUCUAUAAACAGUCAAAAACCCAAAGAUGUUCAAUUAACAGUGAUAUGAAGAGAGAGGAAAAACAGCGAAUCAUUGCGUUUGAGAAGCUGGAACAAGUGAAUGUUUGGCAGCGAUUAACUUAUUAUCAGAAAGUAGAUAAACAGAAAUUUUUUCAGUACUAAAACCAUAACCCUGCUUAUUAUUGUAAUUGUAAAUCAUCCUCUGAUGGUGACGUGAGGAUAAACAGGAGGAUUUGCGUGAGUGAGUGUUUAUGUUGCUUUUUACAGGGCAUUUUUUAAACUCAUAGUGUAUCACGUAAAUUCUUAAAGAGACAGUAUGCUCUAAAUUUGACAUUUUCCUCUAAAGAUUUCUUUAAGUUGGCCUGUUUGGAGUGUACUGCCCCUUUAAUCAAAGCUGCAUGAAGUCAUUGGGGAUACAGCAGCUUUGAAAUGAACAAAAUAUACCAAAAGUCCUGUUAAUUAUUUUUACCGUUAAUAUACCUAUAGAAACUGUGAGCUGCGUAGUAUAAUAGCCACUGUGCUGUAAUCUUGAAUAUUAUGCAAAAAUACAUAAAAACAAAUCAGCUUUGAGAUGCUAAAUAUGAUCAAAUUUGCAGUUAAUUCAUGUACAAACAGUUCUUUACUGAAACCCGCCAAGCGACUGUGAGCGCGCUGCUGUUCAUCAUCCAGCAAAAAACCAGACGUGUUCUUCUUUACAUUCCUCCUCUUUUUAAACUCUGAUCGUCACGUGUGUCCUGUGGAAACUUUGUACCCCUGACAACCAUGAAGAUAUACUUUAUAUACCUUCUUGUUUUUCAUCAGCAUCAACACAAAUAUUCACAGUUAAUAAAAUCAGCAGCAGGUACAAGGUGCUUUAGCAGGAUAUUAACAUGUCAAAUCCAUGUAAAUCUGUGUGUUUUUACCAUGUUGUAUAUGUUUUAAUAACCAAUGGCAGUACUUUUCAAUAUUGUUGUGCACAUCUUUUUACUUUGAAUGUUGUCAGACACUUUGUGAACAAAAUGUUUUUUUUUUUCUUCUUCUUCUUCCAAGAUAUUGUUCUAAUAAAAUAAGCAGCAAUGAAAAGUUGA